CCUACGGGCGGCAGCAGUGAGGAAUAUUGGUCAAUGGCCGAAAGGCUGAACCAGCCAAGCCGCGUGAAGGACGAAGGUGCCAAGCAUGGUAAACUUCUUUUGUCGAGGAGCAAAAUCAGGCUCGAGAGCCUGACCGAGGGUACUUGAAGAAAAAGCAUCGGCUAAGUCCGUGCAGGCAGCCGCGGUAAACCGGAGGAUGAGAGGGUUAUCCGGAUUUAUUGGGUUGAAAGGGUGCGUAGGCGGACUGUUAAGUCAGCGGUAAAAGCCCGGGGCUCAACCCCGGCGAGCCGUUGAAACUGGCUGUCUGGAGUGGUCGAGAGGUAUGCGGAAUGCGCAGUGUAGCGGUGAAAUGCUUAGAUAUUGCGCAGAACUCCGAUUGCGAAGGCAGCAUACCGGCGGCGAUCUGACGCUGAGGCACGAAAGCGUGGGUAUCGAACAGGAUUAGAUACCCGAGUAGUC
rnacentral:rRNA from 1 species